UGUAUUCACUACUGUAAGUCGCUCUGGAUAAGAGCGUCUGCUAAAUGACUGUAA
rfam:Salmo salar isolate Sally breed double haploid chromosome ssa08, whole genome shotgun sequence.